GGGAACGUAUUCACCGCGGCGUGCUGAUCCGCGAUUACUAGCGAUUCCAGCUUCAUGGGGUCGAGUUGCAGACCCCAAUCCGAACUGAGACCGGCUUUAUCCGAUUUGCUCCAGCUUGCGCUCUCGCGACGGUUUGUACCGGCCAUUGUAGCACGUGUGUAGCCCUGGACAUAAAGGCCAUGAGGACUUGACGUCAUCCCCACCUUCCUCCGGUUUGUCACCGGCAGUCUCAUUAGAGUGCCCAACUGAAUGUAGCAACUAAUGACAAGGGUUGCGCUCGUUGCGGGACUUAACCCAACAUCUCACGACACGAGCUGACGACAGCCAUGCAGCACCUGUGUUCCGAUUCCCUUUCGGGCACAGCUGGAUUUCUCCAGCCUCUCGGACAUGUCAAGGGUAG
rnacentral:rRNA from 1 species